UACGGGGGGGGCAAGCGUUGUUCGGAAUUACUGGGCGUAAAGGGUUCGUAGGUGGCUUGUUAAGUCAGACGUGAAAUCCCUCGGCUCAACCGGGGAACUGCGUCUGAGACUGAUGGACUCGAGUGCAGGAGAGGAACGCGGAAUUCCAGGUGUAGCGGUGAAAUGCGUAGAUAUUGGGAGGAACACCAGUGGCGAAGGCGGCUCACUGGACCGGAACUGACGCUGAGGCGCGAAAGCGUGGGGAGCAAACGGG
rnacentral:rRNA from 1 species